rnacentral:misc_RNA from 1 species
UUAAGUUCAGCGGGUAGUCCCGUCUGAUUUGAGGUCAAACGCUUAGAAGGAGUCGACGCCCGAAGACGCCGUUUCACAUUGUAAGCCCGGAGCACUGCUGGUGCAGCGUCACGAAUCCAACUACUUCCAGCGCAGAUAGUAAAUAUCACACCGGUUCGUCGGGCCCGCAUCGCGCAUGGCAUCCGCUGGCACGAUACAUU